GAUGAAGAACGUAGCGAAAUGCGAUACGUAAUGUGAAUUGCAGAAUUCAGUGAAUCAUCGAAUCUUUGAACGCACAUUGCGUCCGCCAGCACUCUGGCGGGCAUGCCUGUUCGAGCGUCAUUUCAACCAUCAAGCCCCAGGCUUGCGUUGGAGCCCUGCGGCUGCCGCAGCCUCCUAAAAGCAGUGGCGGGCUCGCUAUCACACCGAGUGCAGUAGAUUACUCUUCGCUCAGGGCGUGCAGCGGGUUCCGGCCGUGAAACCCCCUACUUUUAAAGGUUGACCUCGGAUCAGGUAGGAAUACCCGCUGAACUUAAGCAUAUCAAUAAGCGGAGGA
rnacentral:misc_RNA from 1 species